CCUACGGGAGGCAGCAGUGGGGAAUAUUGGGCAAUGGGCGCAAGCCUGACCCAGCAACGCCGCGUGAAGGAAGAAGGCUUUCGGGUUGUAAACUUCUUUCGUCAGGGAAGAGUAGAAGACGGUACCUGACGAAUAAGCCACGGCUAACUACGCGCCAGCAGCCGCGGUAAUACGUAGGUGGCAAGCGUUGUCCGGAUUUACUGGGUGUAAAGGGCGUGUAGCCGGGUUGACAAGUCAGAUGUGAAAUCCUGCGGCUUAACCGCAGAACUGCAUGUGAAACUGUUGAUCUUGAGUACUGGAGAGGCAGAUGGAAUUCCUAGUGUAGCGGUGAAAUGCGUAGAUAUUAGGAGGAACACCAGUGGCGAAGGCGGUCUGCUGGACAGCAACUGACGGUGAGGCGCGAAAGCGUGGGGAGCAAACAGGAUUAGAUACCCGUGUAGUC
rnacentral:rRNA from 1 species